ACACGCCGCCAAAAAGGCCUGUACACGGGAGGGUCAACACAUGACACACUACCUGAGCAGUGAACUGUCCACCACGGCGCUAUGUUCCACGCACUGCGCGUUUGCCGUUCACAUUACUUUCGGCAGGUAACACCUUGCAAUUGCCUUGAUCAACAUUAGUGCUGGUGCAGACUGUUUUCAUACUCCUGCUUGUUAAACUGGAUUGAUCCUGAUUUGUGGUAGAGAUGGUUUAACUUCCUGUGCUGGUGCUGUGCAAGAAUAUAGUAUACUCUUAAGCAUCUCAUCAUCAUCAGUGCUCGUCUGAUGGGGAUGCUGCCGUCCUUCUAUGCGCCCGUUGUUGUCCAAGGUCGGCCUACUGGUUGUGACUGUACGGUAGGAAGUUGUUACUGGGUCCAUGAGAUCUACAAGAAGAG